AGUAAAAGUCGUAACAAGGUCUCCGUUGGUGAACCAGCGGAGGGAUCAUUACUGAGUUUUUUUAAACUCCCAACCCUUUGCGAACAUACCUUUGUUGCCUUGGCGGAAGCGCCGCCCUGGAACGGCCUACCCUGUAGUGUCCCGCCCUGGGAGUCGCCCGUCGAAGGACCCCUAAACUCUGUUUUUAUUGUGGCACUUCUGAGGAUGAUUAUAAAUCAGUUAAAACUUUCAACAACGGAUCUCUUGGUUCUGGCAUCGAUGAAGAACGCAGCGAAAUGCGAUAAGUAAUGUGAAUUGCAGAAUUCAGUGAAUCAUCGAAUCUUUGAACGCACAUUGCGCCCACUAGUAUUCUGGUGGGCAUGCCUGUUCGAGCGUCAUUUCGACCCAUCAAGCCCUGUUUGCUUGGCGUUGGGAGACCGCCGGGCCUCGUCCCGGCGGCUCCUCAAAUCUAUCGGCGGCGUCGUAGCGACCCAAGCGUAGUAAUUCUUUCUCGCUUUAGGUGUCGGUGCUGAUGUCCGGCCGCUAAACCCCCCAUAUUCUUUUUAGGUUUGACCUCGGAUCAGGUAGGAAUACCCGCUGAACUUAAGCAUAUCAAUAAGCGGAGGA
rnacentral:rRNA from 1 species